rnacentral:rRNA from 1 species
AGCGAACGCUAGCGGCGGGCCUAACACAUGCAAGUCGAGCGGAGGGGCAACCCUCAGCGGCGAACGGGUGAGUAACACGUAGGUAAUGUACCCUCUGGUGGGGAAUAACCGUGGGAAACCAUGGCUAAUACCGCAUAUGUCUUUCGAGAUGAAAGCAGCAAUGCGCCAGAGGAGCAGCCUGCGGCCGAUUAUUUAGUCCUAGUUGGUGAGGUAAUGGCUCACCAAGGGUACGAUCGGUAGCUGGUCUGAGAGGAUGAUCAGCCACACUGGAACUGAGACACGGUCCAGACUCCUACGGGAGGCAGCAGUGGGGAAUAUUGCGCAAUGGGCGAAAGCCUGACGCAGCCACGCCGCGUGAGUGAUGAAGGCCUCGGUUGUAAG